UAGGGAAUCUUCGGCAAUGGACGAAAGUCUGACCGAGCAACGCCGCGUGCGUGAAGAAGGUUUUCGGAUCGUAAAACUCUGUUGUUAGAGAAGAACAAGGACGUUAGUAACUGAACGUCCCCUGACGGUAUCUAACCAGAAAGCCACGGCUAACUACGUGCCAGCAGCCGCGGUAAUACGUAGGUGGCAAGCGUUGUCCGGAUUUAUUGGGCGUAAAGCGAGCGCAGGCGGUUUCUUAAGUCUGAUGUGAAAGCCCCCGGCUCAACCGGGGAGGGUCAUUGGAAACUGGGGGGCUUGAGUGAAGAAGAAGAGAAUGGAAUUCCAUGUGUAGCGGUGAAAUGCGUAGAUAUAUGGAGGAACACCAGUGGCGAAGGCGGCUCUCUGGUCUGUAACUGACGCUGAGGCUCGAAAGCGUGGGGAGCAAACAGG
rnacentral:rRNA from 1 species